GUGUUUGCUUCGGCAGCACAUAUACUAAAAGUCGGAACAAUAAAAUUACCAUGAACCCUGAGUAAAAAUGAUAUGCAAAUUCAUGAAACGCUCCAUAUUUUU
ensembl:snRNA U6 U6 spliceosomal RNA